rnacentral:rRNA from 1 species
GCUUAGAGUUUGAUCCUGGCUCAGGAUGAACGCUGGCGGCGUGCCUAACACAUGCAAGUCGAACGGAAUCUUCGGAUUUAGUGGCGGACGGGUGAGUAACGCGUGAGAAUCUGCCUUUAGGUUCGGGACAACAGUUGGAAACGACUGCUAAUACCGAAUGUGUCGCAAGAUGAAAGAUUAAUUGCCUAAAGAUGAGCUCGCGUCCGAUUAGCUAGUUGGUGUGGUAAAAGCGCACCAAGGCGACGAUCGGUAGCUGGUCUGAGAGGAUGAUCAGCCACACUGGGACUGAGACACGGCCCAGACUCCUACGGGAGGCAGCAGUGGGGAAUUUUCCGCAAUGGGCGAAAGCCUGACGGAGCAACGCCGCGUGAGGGAGGAAGGCUUUUGGGUUGUAAACCUCUUUUCUCAAGGAAGAUAAUGACGGUACUUGAGGAAUCAGCAUCGGCUAACUCCGUGCCAGCAGCCGCGGUAAUACGGAGGAUGCAAGCGUUAUCCGGAAUAAUUGGGCGUAAAGCGUUCGUAGGUGGUUUUACAAGUCUGCUGUUAAAGCGUGUAGCUCAACUACAUAAUGGCGGUGGAAACUGUAGAACUAGAGUACGUUCGGGGCAGAGGGAAUUCCUAGUGUAGCGGUGAAAUGCGUAGAGAUUAGGAAGAACACCGGUGGCGAAAGCGCUCUGCUAGGCCGUAACUGACACUGAGGGACGAAAGCUAGGGGAGCGAAUGGGAUUAGAUACCCCAGUAGUC